CCUACGGAGAGUACAUAAUAAUGUAAGUACUGAUUAGGGACAUCUAUCAGGAAAGCAUACUCGAUGAAGUAGGAA
rnacentral:ncRNA from 1 species